rnacentral:rRNA from 1 species
UACGGAGGGUGCAAGCGUUAAUCGGAAUUACUGGGCGUAAAGCGCACGCAGGCGGUUUGUUAAGUCAGAUGUGAAAUCCCCGAGCUUAACUUGGGAACUGCAUUUGAAACUGGCAAGCUAGAGUCUUGUAGAGGGGGGUAGAAUUCCAGGUGUAGCGGUGAAAUGCGUAGAGAUCUGGAGGAAUACCGGUGGCGAAGGCGGCCCCCUGGACAAAGGCUGACGCUCAGGUGCGAAGGCGUGGGGAGCAAACAGG